UACGAAGGGUGCAAGCGUUACUCGGAAUUACUGGGCGUAAAGCGUGCGUAGGUGGUUUGUUAAGUCUGAUGUGAAAGCCCUGGGCUUAACCUGGGAAUUGCAUUGGAUACUGGCAGGCUAGAGUGCGGUGGAGGAUGGCGGAAUUCCCGGUGUAGCAGUGAAAUGCGUAGAGAUCGGGAGGAACAUCUGUGGCGAAGGCGGCCAUCUGGACCAGCACUGACACUGAGGCACGAAAGCGUGGGGAGCAAACAGG
rnacentral:rRNA from 1 species